UGCCCGCUGAUGACUCAUCCUUGCUCCCCGUGCCUUGGCUAUGGGCGACAUCCUGGCUGCCCCGGGCCUGGCCAGUGGGCUGAGCCUGGGGACUGAGGGCA